UACGUAGGGGGCGAGCGUUGUCCGGAAUUAUUGGGCGUAAAGGGUGCGUAGGCGGUCUAUUAAGUCUGGUGUGAAAGCCCACAGCUUAACUGUGGAGGGUCAUUGGAAACUGGUAGACUUGAGUAUAAUAGAGGUGAGUGGAAUUCCACGUGUAGCGGUGAAAUGCGUAGAGAUGUGGAGGAACACCAGUGGCGAAGGCGACUCACUGGAUUAUUACUGACGCUGAGGCACGAAAGCGUGGGGAGCAAAUAGG
rnacentral:rRNA from 1 species